rnacentral:rRNA from 1 species
CGAGCGGGCCUCCGGAGGUGCUUGCACCUCCGGAAGGCCAGCGGCGGACGGGUGAGUAACACACGGGCAACCUGCCUUUGAGGCCGGGAUAACACCGGGAAACCGGUGCUAAUACCGGAUACGUCCUCUUUCGCGCCUGCGAGAGGGGAGAAAGACGGUCUUUAAGGCCGUCGCUCAAGGAGGGGCCCGCGGCGCAUUAGCUGGUUGGUGGGGCAAGGGCCUACCAAGGCGACGAUGCGUUGCCGACCUGAGAGGGUGAUCGGCCACACUGGGACUGAGACACGGCCCAGACUCCUACGGGAGGCAGCAGUGGGGAAUAUUGGACAAUGGGCGAAAGCCUGAUCCAGCCAUGCCGCGUGGGUGAAGAAGGCCUUAGGGUUGUAAACCCCUUUCAGCGGGGAAGAUAAUGACGGUACCCGCAGAAGAAGCCCCGGCUAACUCCGUGCCAGCAGCAGCCGCAGUAA